rnacentral:rRNA from 1 species
UACGGGGGGGGCAAGCGUUGUUCGGAAUUACUGGGCGUAAAGGGCUCGUAGGCGGUCAAUUAAGUCGGCCGUGAAAUCCCCAGGCUCAACCUGGGAACUGCGUCUGAUACUGGAUGGCUUGAAUCCGGGAGAGGGAUGCAGAAUUCCAGGUGUAGCGGUGAAAUGCGUAGAUAUCUGGAGGAAUACCGGUGGCGAAGGCGGCAUCCUGGACCGGCAUUGACGCUGAGGAGCGAAAGCCAGGGGAGCAAACGGG